UGGGGAAUAUUGCACAAUGGGCGGAAGCCUGAUGCAGCGACGCCGCGUGGGGGAUGAAGGCCUUCGGGUUGUAAACUCCUUUCGACAGGGACGAAGCUUUUGUGACGGUACCUGUAUAAGAAGCACCGGCUAACUACGUGCCAGCAGCCGCGGUAAUACGUAGGGUGCGAGCGUUGUCCGGAAUUACUGGUCGUAAAGAGCUCGUAGGUGGUUUGUCGCGUCGUCUGUGAAAUUCCGGGGCUUAACUCCGGGCGUGCAGGCGAUACGGGCUGACUUGAGUGCUGUAGGGGAGACUGGAAUUCCUGGUGUAGCGGUGAAAUGCGCAGAUAUCAGGAGGAACACCGAUGGCGAAGGCAGGUCUCUGGGCAGUAACUGACGCUGAGGAGCGAAAGCAUGGGUAGCGAACAGG
rnacentral:rRNA from 1 species